AACAAGUGCUUAAAAUAAUUUUUUUGACUACCUUUUAAAACAGUGCAUGCGUACAGCCUUUAAUAUUUUGAUCAUUCCUCAUGUAACAAGAUCGGAUGUGAAUCUUUUUAUUGGUUACAAAAGUAGUUAUUAUAAACUUCAAGAAAAGAAAAAUCAUAUUAUACUUUGCGAAGAAUCAUGAAUAUGUCUUCAUUAUUUAGAAGAGUAUGCCAAAAUAUAGGCUCUGUUAUUCCAAAAAUAUCUGUGGAACCAGUAAACAAUGUUAUGAAUCGUAAAAUGCAUUAUAUAUGCAAUAAAU